rnacentral:lncRNA from 1 species
UCUGGGUAGCUUAAAGGGUGUGGACCCAUAACAGCUUGCUGUACCCCAAAUAAGAUUUAGAGAAAGAGGUAUUUCUCUAAAAUAAUUUGGGUGUUGCUUUUGACAUGCGAGUGAACUCAAAUCAAAUACAAAGAAAACUCACAAAGCCUUGAGAAAACUGUAUUGACAAAGUCAGCCUACAUUAGAAGAGACUGAGAUUGUUUGGACUCCCAAUUUUGAAUGCCAUGAAGCUGGCCGAGAAAGUUACUCAGCAGACCAAAAUGGUUUAUUCUCUAAAGUUCUCUUCAGAAGGGGCUGAGGAGGAUGGAAAAUGAAGACUCUCCCAAAGGGUGGAACCAAGAGCUGUGGAGGACAAGGACACCAGAGCCACUCCCAGUGAACAGAACCACAGCCUAAUCAAGGAACAGACUCUAUCACAAAAUCAAGAGGAGCUGGAUCAAGCCUCAGGUAGAACAUGAGGUGCUGGACUUUAAGAAUGAUGACAGGAUGGAAUAUGGACUUUGGAGCUGGGCAGCCCUUUUGUGACCAUGAGGCAACAUUGAAGAUGCAAGCCACAUGCUAAGACAGAAGAAAAUAAAGACAGAACUAAGCUGGGGCAUGUAUGACAUUUCAAGCUCUCAGAUCAGCCCUUGAUGGCCACCAUCCAUAUUUAUUGACAUGAAAAGAAGUCCUCAUUUUGUCAAAGCCAAUGAUAUUCAGGACUGUUAUUAAUAACAAAAUACAAUUCUUCCCUCUACCCACUACAGUGUAUCAUGAAACUCUUCAAACAUAUAGGAAAGUUGAGUAUGGAAUCUCUAUCUCCAGCCUUGAGGUCUCACCUGGACUCUUGGUUAUUCAAUGGACUACUCUGCAUCUCCAUGUGCAUCUCUAAUAUAGACUCCUCAACCUUAAUGUAUCCACAACUGAACCUUUGGUUCUGUACCACUCCCGUCUUGCUCCUUGUCUCUCCGUUUCCCCAUCUCAGAAAUUAACAACUUCAUCUUUCCAGUUACUUUUCCUUCCUUCCUUCCUUCCUUCCUUUCCUUCCUUCCUUCUCUCUCUUUUCUUUUUUGAGAGUCUCACUCUGCCACUCAGGCUAGAGUGCAGUGGUGCACUGCAACCUCCACCUUCUGGGUUUUAGUACAGACAGGGUUUUACCAUGUUGGCCAGGCUGUUCACGAACUCCUCACCUUAAGUGAUCCACCUGCCUUGGCCUCCCAAAGUGCUGGGAUGACGGGCGUGAGCCACCGUGCCCGGCCCAUCUUUCCAGUUUCUUGGGACAAAAACCAAAGAUCUACUUUUCUCCUUUGCCAUAUGAGGACACAUUUAAAAGGCUGUGAACAAGGAUGCAGGCUCUUACCAGUUACCAAACUGCUGGUGCCUUGGUCUUACAUUUCCCAGCCCCCAGAGUGCAAGAAAAAAAAUUUUGGUUGUUUAUAAACGACUCAGUCUUGGUAUAUUUGUCAUAGCUGUCUGGGCAGACUAAAACAUGCACAUAAACAACCCUGUUUUCUGCCUUAACAAAUCAGGUAUUUAAAUAUAUGUUCCUGAUUCUUCCCAUAAUGUGUCAUUUGUAAUUUCAGUAAUAUAAUUUCAGACUGUUUAAAAAGCUUUUUGUUCAACCCAGUUUUACAACUGGAUUACUGAGUUGUCUAAAAUCCAAAACACUAUCAUUUAAGCCAGCAUUUUAGAUGCCUGAUCGUUUCAGUCAGGGUUCUCCAGAGAGACAGAACCAAUAGGGGAUACAGACAUGAGAGGGCAUUUAUUAAGGGAAUUGACUCAUGCAAUUAUGUAGCCUGAGAAAUCCCAUGACGGGCCAUCUGCAAGCUGGAGACCCUGAGAUUCUGGCAGCAUGGCUCAGUCAAAGUGUGACAGCCUCAGAACCAAGCUGAUGGCGUAACUCAGUCCAAAGACCCAAGGCCUGAGAACCUCAGGGCCACUGGUAUAAGUCCCAAAGACCAAAGGCCGGAGAGCCUGGAGUUGUGAUAUUGAAGAGCAAGAGAAGAGUGUUCCAGAGAGACAGAGAGAGAGAGAGAAUUCACCUUUCCUCUGCCUUUUGCUCUGUUGGGCUCACAGCUGAUUGGAAGGUGCCCAAAGAUAUUGAUGGCAGAUCUCUUCCACUCAGUCCACUGACUCACAUACCAGUCUCCCCUGGAAACACCCUCAGAGACACAUCCAGAAAUAAUGCUCCAUCAGUUGUCUAGGUAUUCCUUAACCCAAUCAAGUUGACACCUAAAAUUAACCAUCACAUUGAUUUACUUCCCGAAUCCUCUAUCCCAACUCUCAAAUAUGGUUUCAGGAUUCCUG